rnacentral:rRNA from 1 species
GACGAACGCUGGCGGCGUGCUUAACACAUGCAAGUCGAACGGAAAGGCCCUGCGGUGGUGGGGUGCGCGGGUGGCGAACGUGUGAGUAACACGUGAGUAACCUGCCCUUGACUUUGGGAUAACUUCAGGUAACUGGGGCUAAUACCGGAUAGGAGCUCCUGCUUCUUGGUGGUGGUGGGAAAGUUUCGGCGGUUGGGGAUGGACUCGCGGCUUAUCAGCUUGUCGGUGGGGUAGUGGCUUACCAAGGCUUUGGCGGGUAGCCGGCCUGAGAGGGUGGCCGGCCACAUUGGGCCUGAGCUAAGGCACAGUCUCCUCCGGGAGGCAGCAGUGGGGAAUAUUGCACAAUGGGAGGAAGCCUGACGCAGCAACGCCGCGUGGGGGAUGACGGCCUUCGGGUUGUAAUCCGCUUUGGCCUGUGACGAAGCGUGAGUGACGGUAAUGGGUAAAGAAGCACCGGCUAACUACGUG